rnacentral:rRNA from 1 species
GAUGAACGCUGGCGGCGUGCCUAAUACAUGCAAGUCGAGCGAACAGACGACGAGCUUGCUCCUCUUACUUUAGCGGCGGAAGGGUGAGUAACACGUGGAUAACCUACCUCUAAGACUGGGAUAACUUCGGGAAACCGGCGCUAAUAUCCGAUAAUAUAUUAAACCGCAUGAUUCAUUAGUUAAUAACGCUUUUGCUGUCCCUUAUAGAUGGACCCGCGCCGCAUUAGCUAGUUGGUUAGGUAACGGCUUACCACGGCAACCAUGCGUAGCCGACCUGAGAGGGUGGUCCGCCACACUAGAAGGGAGCCACGGUACAGACUCCUACGGGAGGCAGCGGUAGGGUAUGUUACGUAAUGGGCGGGAGCCUACCGUGGCACAGCCGCGCCGGGUAUGAGGGUCUGGGGAUCGGAAAUGUCUGCUACUAGGAAAGGGGAAGUGUGUAGUGUACUCUGCCGCACUUGACGGUACCUAAGCAGUAAGCACCGGCUAACUCCGUG